rnacentral:rRNA from 1 species
UACGUAGGGGGCAAGCGUUACUCGGAAUUACUGGGCGUAAAGCGUGCGUAGGUGGUUUGUUAAGUCUGUUGUGAAAGCCCCGGGCUCAACCUGGGAAUGGCAAUGGAUACUGGCAAGCUAGAGUGCGGUAGAGGGUAGUGGAAUUCCCGGUGUAGCGGUGAAAUGCGUAGAGAUCGGGAGGAACACCAGUGGCGAAGGCGGGUCUCUGGGCAAUAACUGACGCUGAGGAGCGAAAGUGUGGGGAGCGAACAGG